rnacentral:rRNA from 1 species
UACGGGGGGGGUAAGCGUUGUUCGGAAUUACUGGGCGUAAAGGGCUCGUAGGCGGCCAGCUAAGUCAUACGUGAAAUCCCUCAGCUUAACUGGGGAACUGCGUGUGAUACUGGAUGGCUUGGAUUUGGGAGAGGGAUGCGGAAUUCCAGGUGUAGCGGUGAAAUGCGUAGAUAUCUGGAGGAACACCGGUGGCGAAGGCGGCAUCCUGGACCAAUAUUGACGCUGAGGAGCGAAAGCUAGGGGAGCAAACAGG